UGAUGAUGCGGAACGGUUCUGCGUUCUACCAGCCUAUCGUCGGGAUGGAUGAAACGGAAACCCUAACCCCGACAGUAGAAGCAGAGCGCGAGAAAGACAGAGCCAUGUCUGAUUCUGACGAUUCUGAUUCAGAGGACGAAGCUCAGCAGAACCUUCAACUUGAAUCCCUCGAGACUGAACUUGCUGCUAACCCCUCGAACUACGAUGCUCAUUUACAAUAUAUAAAGCUUCUGAGGAGAAUGGGUGAUGUUGAUAAACUGGCGAGAGCCAGGGAAACUAUGAGUGAAAGCUUUCCUUUGAGCCCGGCAAUGUGGCUCGAAUGGAUCAACGAUGAGCUGUCUCUCAACACUGCUUCUCGACCCGAGGCUUUCUCUAGAAUUCAGAAGCUUUAUGAACGUGGGCUGUUUGAUUAUCUGUCUGUCUCUCUCUGGUGUGACUACAUUAAUUUCGUCCUAGAGUUUGAUCCAAUGGUACACCAAUGUUCACCUACUGGUAUUUUGAAGGCAAGGGAUCUGUUUGAGAGUGCACUUACUGCCGCUGGUUUGCAUGUUGUGGAAGGCAGUAAAAUAUGGGAAGCAUACAGGCAAUAUGAGCAGUCUAUACUUUUAACCAUCAAUGAAACUGAUACACAGGCCAAAGAAAAGCAAGUUCAACGAAUUCGAAGUUUAUUCCAUCGCCAAUUGUCUGUUCCCCUUGCUGACUUGGGUUCUACACUUAUGGCCUAUAAGACUUGGGAGGUGGAACAAGGAAAUCUUCAAGCUGUUGAAUCCAUUGACUUGGUUGAUAUUUAUCCUCACGUUUCGUCAUCAUACCAGAAGGCCUUGGAGAUGUAUAAUGCUCGUCUUCCUCUUGAAGAUCAUAUUUCAAACUUUGAUAUUUCUGAUUCAGAAAGACUACAACACUACAUUAACUAUUUGAAAUUUGAGCAGUCUUCUGGAACACCAGCCAGAAUUCAAGUUCUGUAUGAGCGAGCUAUUACUGACUUUCCUUUAUCACCUGAUCUCUGGCUUGAUUAUACUCGUUAUUUGGACAAGACUUUGAAGGUUGGUAAUAUUGUCAGCAAUGUUUAUUCUAGGGCCACAAAGAACUGUCCUUGGGUUGGAGAACUAUGGGUUCGGUAUAUGCUUUCCUUGGAGCGUAGUCGUGCUUCUGAGAAGGACUUGGCUGAAGUCUUUGAGAAGUCCCUACAAUGUACCUUUUCGACUCUCGAUGAGUAUCUUGAUUUGUUUCUCACCCGGGUAGAUGGCUUAAGGCGAAGAAUGGCAUUCACCAGUGAAGAGGAUUUGGAAUAUAAAAUAUUAAGGGAGACCUUUCAGCGUGCAUCAGAUUACCUGUCUCCAUACAUGAAGAAUACAGAGGGUUUGUUACAUUUACAUGCUUAUUGGGCCCAUUUAGAAACUAAACGUGGGAAAGACAUAACUGCAGCUCGUGGAGUUUGGGAGAAUUGUCUUAAGAUAUGUGGUUCAAUGUUGGAGGCAUGGAAAGGUUAUAUAGCAAUGGAAGUGGAAUCGGGUCACGUAAAUGAAGCCAGGUCCAUAUACAAGAGAUGCUACAGUAAAAGGUUUUCUGGGACUGGUUCAGAGGACAUAUGCCACUCAUGGUUGCGCUUUGAGAGGGAAUUUGGCAAGUUGGAAGAUUUUGAUCAUGCAUUACACAAGGUUACCCCUCGGCUAGAAGAGCUACACUUAUUUAGGAUACAGCAGGAAUCCAAGUCAGUAGAGGAAAGUGAAAAGAAUUCAAAGAGAAAUGCUCGUGAUAAGAGAAAGCUGGGGUCAGAUAUACCUGAAGAACAGUCUCCCUCAAAGCGACUGCGAGAUGCUGGUAGAAAUCUGAAGAAAGCACCUGAGGAGAGUAAAAUUCAAUUGCAGAAUUCUCAGAAGACAGAAAUGGAAGGGGUCAAUCAGAAAAACAACGAAUCUGAUGAUAACCCAAGUGAACAACAGUUUAGCCACGUAAAAAACAGGGCAUACUCUGACCAGUGCACUGCUUUUAUAUCAAAUCUUCAUCCUACGGCAAAUUAUGAACAUAUUCGUAAUUUCUUCAGUGAUGUUAGUGGAAUUGUUGCCAUCCGUAUUCUACAUGACAAGUUCACUGGAAAAUCAAGGGUAUCAAAUGACUUAUUCUUUGUCGUUAUUUUAUUAUUGUGCCUUAAUUGAUUUUGAAAGUAUAGUAGCCUGUUGACUUUAGAAAACUUACAGUGGAUUUCAAUAUGAUGAAAGCUGCCUUACUGAGUUUCUUUAGUUCUUUAGUUGGGUGCAUGUAUGGCCUGGAUUGGUGCCUUAUUCAGUUCCAAAACCUUGUUAUUUCAUAUAUUUUGCCUUUCAUUUGUACCAUCUUUUUAUUGAGGAUAAUAACAACACAUUUUUAGCAGAAUGGCUACUUUUAGGUUAUUGUACUCUAUUUUUUAUUGACAAAGCCCUCAGAAAAAUCCACGUAACCUUGUCAAACAAGUCAUUUUACAAUGGUAUAUGCCCAUUUACUGUGACCAUACCCAUGCACUGUAACUAUAUGUUUAUCUUGAUAUUGAUGAAGGGACUAGCGUAUGUGGACUUUUUGGAUGAUGAGCACCUUGCUGCUGCAGUAGCUAAGAACAAGCACAAGUUACUUGGGAAGAAGCUAAGUAUUGCUCGAUCUGACCCAAAGCGAGGUGGAAGGGAAUCUUUUAAUCCAAAAACAUUUCAUGAACAUGGACAUGCCACUGAUCGUUCCAGUAUAAAAGGUUCAGUAUCCAAAGAAACUGAUGAUACUUACAAGGGAGAUGUAAAGGAUGCAAAGUUCUCUUCUAGAAAGGAAGGAAGUGACAACAUCCAGCUUAAAGGCAAGAAUACUUUUGCCGUGCCUAGAAAUGUUAGACCACUUGGUUAUACUGCAAAUAAACCAAAAGCAGAAGAGGGGGAUGAAAAGCCAAAAUCCAAUGAAGAAUUCAGAAAGAUGUUCAUUCGUUGAGGAUUUUGCACCGCUAAUUUGUAACUCUGAAGAUGACAGUUAUCUUUCAGAUUUUUGACAAAGGUGGAAAAGGUGUAAGUUAUGUGUUUUUCGAGUACGGCUCUUCUGUUUGUUGCAUACUAAUUAGAACAAUCAUCCUAGAUUUACCCUCCGGUAAAUGUGUCUACUGUUUACGUAUGAUUUGCAGAAUAUGCUUUUGUGGGGGCUCUGUGCAGUGUAUGUUAUGAAUCUCACGUUGGGUAGACUAAGAAGCUCAAUAUUGUUUUCUUUAUAAAUCGAGCAUUUGUC